CCUACGGGUUGCAGCAGUGGGGAAUAUUGCACAAUGGGCGCAAGCCUGAUGCAGCCAUGCCGCGUGUGUGAAGAAAGCCUCCGGGUUGUAAAGCACUUUCAGCGGGGAGGAAGGCGUUAAGGUUAAUAACCUUAGCGAUUGACGUUACGCGCAGAAGAAGCACCGGCUAACUCCGUGCCAGCAGCCGCGGUAAUGCGGAGGGUGCAAGCGUUAAUCGGAAUUACUGGGCGUAAAGCGCACGCAGGCGGUCUGUCAAGUCGGAUGUGAAAUCCCCGGGCUCAACCUGGGAACUGCAUUCGAAACUGGCAGGCUAGAGUCGUGUAGAGGGGGGUAGAAUUCCAGGUGUAGCGGUGAAAUGCGUAGAGAUCUGGAGGAAUACCGGUGGCGAAGGCGGCCCCCUGGACAAAGACUGACGCUCAGGUGCGAAAGCGUGGGGAGCAAACAGGAUUAGAUACCCUUGUAGUC
rnacentral:rRNA from 1 species